CUAGAAAUUCGGUCUCUAUUUAUCUUGUAUCCGGUGCUCAUCCAUUUACAACAGUUGAAGAAGAUGGAUUUAGAACAAUGAUGUCUGCUUGUUGUCCACAAUUCAAGUCUAUUGGUCGGCACACAAUAAAAAGAGAGAUAAUGGCAAUGUUUCUUAGCCAGAAAAAGGAAUUGAUGGAAAUUAUUC